GUUGCCCAGACAACUAGGAUGUUGGCUUAGAAGCAGCCAUCAUUUAAAGAGUGCGUAAUAGCUCACUAGUCGAGUGACACUGCGCCGAAAAUGUACCGGGGCUAAACAUAUUACCGAAGCUGUGGAUUGUCCUUUGGACAAUGGUAGGAGAGCGUUCUAAGGGCGUUGAAGCAUGAUCGUAAGGACAUGUGGAGCGCUUAGAAGUGAGAAUGCCGGUGUGAGUAGCGAAAGACGGGUGAGAAUCCCGUCCACCGAUUGACUAAGG
rnacentral:rRNA from 1 species